AAUUGAGAACCCUUGCAAUGGUGCCAGUUACUCCAAAGCCCAUGCCCUCUUUGUCCUUUCAACAGAAGCCGGGAGCAUCCUGAUCUGCCGCUGUGGUGCCAGCCUUGGAAACAGCACUCAGGGGAGGGGAGAUCUCAUUUCAGAAACAUCCCUGUCACUGACACCAGGAGCAAGGAGGAAGCUCCAAGCUAUAGAACUUUGAACGGGGCAGUGGAGAAGCCCAGGCCCCUGGCCCUGCCCCUGCCGCGUUCUGUGGAGGAAUCCUAUAUCACCAGUGAGCAUUGCUACCAGAAGCCCCGCGCCUAUUACCCUGCCGUGGAGCAGAAGCUGGUGGUGGAGACGAGGGGCUCUGCCCUCGAUGAUGCGGUCAACCCCCUCCAUGAGAACGGCGAUGAUUCCCUUUCCCCGCGCCUGGGCUGGCCUCUAGACCAAGACAGGAGCAAGGGGGACAGUGACCCCAAACCCAGCUCCCCAAAGGUGAAGGAAUAUGUCUCCAAAAAGGCCCUACCAGAAGAAGCCCCUGCUCGGAAGCUGCUGGACAGA
rnacentral:sRNA from 1 species